rnacentral:rRNA from 1 species
UGGGGAAUUUUGGACAAUGGGCGAAAGCCUGAUCCAGCAAUGCCGCGUGUGUGAAGAAGGCCUUCGGGUUGUAAAGCACUUUUGUCCGGAAAGAAAUCCUUGGCUCUAAUACAGUCGGGGGAUGACGGUACCGGAAGAAUAAGCACCGGCUAACUACGUGCCAGCAGCCGCGGUAAUACGUAGGGUGCAAGCGUUAAUCGGAAUUACUGGGCGUAAAGCGUGCGCAGGCGGUUUGCUAAGACCGAUGUGAAAUCCCCGGGGCUCAACCUGGGAGCUGCAUUGGUGACUGGCAGGCUAGAGUAUGGCAGAGGGGGGUUAGAAUUCCACGUGUAGCAGUGAAAUGCGUAGAGAUGUGGAGGAAUACCGAUGGCGAAGGCAGCCCCCUGGGCCAAUACUGACGCUCAUGCACGAAAGCGUGGGGGAGCAAACAGGAUUCAGAUACCCUGGUAGUCCACGCCCUAAACGAUGUCAACUAGUUGUGGGAUUCAUUUCCUUAGUAACGUAGCUAACGCGUGAAGUUGACCGCCUGGGGAGUACGGUCGCAAGAUUAAACUC